GAUGAACGCUGGCGGCGUGCCUAAUACAUGCAAGUCGAACGAACAGACGAGGAGCUUGCUCCUCUUACGUUAGCGGCGGACGGGUGAGUAACACGUGGAUAACCUACCUAUAAGACUGGGAUAACUUCUGGAAACCGUAGCUAAUACCGGAUAAUAAAUUGAACCACAUGGUUCAAUAGUGAAAGACGGUUUUGCUGCCACUUAUAGAUGGAUCCCGGCCGCAUUAGUUAGUUGUGAAGGUAAGGGCCUACCAAGGCAACGAUCAGUGGCCGACCUGAGGGGGGGAUCGCCCCCACUGGAACUGGGACACGGUCCAGACCCCUACGGGGGGCAGCAGUAGGGAAUCUUCGGCAAUGGGGCAAACCCUGACGGAGCAACGCCGGGGGAGUGAUGAAGGUCUUCGGACCGUAAACUUCUGUUAUUAGGGAAGACCAAAUGUGUAAGUAACUAUGCACGUCUUGACGGUACCUAAUCAGAAAGCCACGGCUAACUACGUG
rnacentral:rRNA from 1 species